GGGUGAUUAGCUCAGUUGGUUUAGAGCACUACCUUGACAGGGUAGGGGUCACUGGUUCGAAUCCAGUAUUACUCACAA
rnacentral:tRNA from 1 species